rnacentral:rRNA from 1 species
ACCCUCCAAGGCUAAAUACUACCUAGUGACCGAUAGCGUAUAGUACCGUGAGGGAAAGGUGAAAAGAACCCCGGGAGGGGAGUGAAAUAGAACCUGAAACCCUGCACUUACAAGCUGUGGAAGCACAUUUCUUGUGUGACAGCGUACUUUUUGUAGAACGGGCCAACGAGUUACGUUAAGUAGCAAGGUUAAGCACUUAAGGUGUGGAGCCGUAGCGAAAGCGAGUUUUAACUGAGCGUUCAGUUACUUGACGUAGACCCGAAACCGGGCGACCUACCCAUGAGCAGGAUGAAGCGAAAGUAAAAUUUCGUGGAGGUCCGAACCCACGAGCGUUGAAAAGCUCGGGGAUGACUUGUGGGUAGCGGUGAAAUUCCAAUCGAGCCCGGAGAUAGCUGGUUCUCCCCGAAAUAGCUUUAGGGCUAGCCUCAAGGUGAGAGAUACGGAGGUAGAGCACUGAAUGUCCUAGGGGGUAUUGCACCUACCGAAG